UUUAUUCGAANCACGCGAAAGACCUUACCAACUCUUGACAUCCCCCUGACCGGUACAGAGAUGUAUCUUCCCCUUCGGGGGCAGGGGUGACAGGUGGUGCAUGGUUGUCGUCAGCUCGUGUCGUGAGAUGUUGGGUUAAGUCCCGCAACGAGCGCAACCCUUGUCCUUAGUUGCCAGCAUUUGGUUGGGCACUCUAGGGAGACUGCCGGUGACAAACCGGAGGAAGGUGGGGAUGACGUCAAAUCAUCAUGCCCCUUAUGAGUUGGGCUACACACGUGCUACAAUGGACGGUACAAAGGGCAGCGAAGCCGCGAGGUGGAGCCAAUCCCAGAAAGCCGUUCUCAGUUCGGAUUGCANGCUGCAACUCGCCUGCAUGAAGUCNGAAUCGCUAGUAAUCGCAGGUCANCAUACUGCGGUGAAUACGUUCCCGGGUCUUGUACACACCCNCCCGUC
rnacentral:rRNA from 1 species